rnacentral:rRNA from 1 species
UCCCUACGGGGGGCAGCAGUGAGGAAUAUUGGUCAAUGGCCGAGAGGCUGAACCAGCCAAGUCGCGUGAGGGAUGACGGCCCUACGGGUUGUAAACCUCUUUUGUCGGGGAGCAAGACCCGCCACGAGUGGCGGAGCGAGAGUACCCGAAGAAAAAGCAUCGGCUAACUCCGUGCCAGCAGCCGCGGUAAUACGGAGGUCUCAAGCGUUGUUCGGAAUCACUGGGCGUAAAGCGUGCGUAGGCUGUUCCGUAAGUCGUGUGUGAAAGGCGCGGGCUCAACCCGCGGACGGCACAUGAUACUGCGG